UACAGAGGUGGCAAGCGUUGUUCGGAAUUACUGGGCGUAAAGGGCGCGUAGGCGGCCAUCUAAGUCAGACGUGAAAUCCCCCGGCUUAACCUGGGAACUGCGUCUGAUACUGGAAGGCUUGAGUAUGGGAGAGGGAUGUAGAAUUCCAGGUGUAGCGGUGAAAUGCGUAGAUAUCUGGAGGAACACCGGUGGCGAAGGCGGCAUCCUGGACCAACACUGACGCUGAGGAGCGAAAGCCAGGGGAGCAAACGGG
rnacentral:rRNA from 1 species